CUCGCAAUUAUUCAGUAAAUUAUUGGCGGAAAUUUUGUUUUGCGAAAAUUUUCUAAAAGUUGUGUAAGAUUUGAAUUUAACCUUGUAAUUCGACAGAUGAAGUGACUUCUCUCGUUAUUAAACCAUCUACAUGAACUAAUGCAGUAAAUCACGAACAAUUAAACAACAUUUAAGAGUAGAAUACCUAACUGUAGACCCAGUUGUAACACCAGGCAUUUCCAUAUAUUUUGAGAAAUCCAUAUCACCAAGAUGGCAAUGCAAGUAGAGAGACAAGAGGACCAAGAAAUUGAAGAGGAAAACCUCGGACCUCAGCCAAUAGGCAGAUUGGAGGCGUCUGGUAUAAGUGCCAAUGAUGUGAAGAAAUUAGAAGAAGCUGGUUUUCAUACAAUAGAAUCUGUUGCUUUUGCUCCUAAAAAAGCCCUACUUGGCAUCAAAGGCAUAAGUGAGGCUAAAGCUGAUAAAUUACUGGGAGAGUCACAGAAGAUGGUGCCCAUGGGCUUCACUACUGCCACAGAGUUUCAUCAGAAAAGAUCUGAGAUCAUACAGAUUACAACAGGAUCAAAGGAGCUGGACAAGUUAUUACAAGGCGGAAUAGAAACAGGAUCAAUAACAGAAAUUUUUGGAGAAUUCAGAACAGGAAAAACUCAGCUAUGUCACACUUUAGCCGUCACUUGCCAAAUGCCUAUAGACGUAGGUGGUGGGGAAGGUCGUGCAAUGUACAUCGACACAGAGGGCACAUUUAGACCUGAAAGGCUACUGGCUGUGGCAGAAAAGUAUGGUCUUUCUGGCAAAGAUGUGUUGGACAACGUGGCAUAUGCAAGGGCCUACAACUCAGACCAUCAGAACCAACUGUUACUACAAGCUGCUGCUAUGAUGGCUGAAUCAAGGUAUGCCUUGCUAAUAGUUGACAGUGCUACAGCCCUAUACAGGACAGACUACUCAGGGAGAGGGGAACUAUCAGCCCGACAAAUGCAUCUUGCAAGGUUCCUGAGAACCCUUUUACGUCUAGCUGAUGAGUUUGGUGUCGCCGUGGUGAUAUCUAAUCAAGUAGUAGCUCAAGUAGAUGGCGCUGCUAUGUUUUCUGCAGACCCUAAAAAACCAAUUGGUGGAAAUAUAAUUGCACAUGCCUCAACUACCAGGUUAUAUCUGAGAAAAGGGCGUGGAGAGACGAGGAUAUGUAAGAUCUAUGACUCCCCAUGUUUACCAGAGUCAGAGGCAAUGUUUGCAAUCAAUGCAGAUGGCAUAGGAGAUGCCAAAGAUUGAGAUAUUCCUCAAAAGACAGUUGAAGGAAUAUGUGUAAAUAUUAACCACAUGUGUGGACUCUUGGUGCUGUUAUUGUGCAGUCUGGGAUCUUUGAAUCAGUAUAUGGAGCUAUAAGAACCAUCAUUAUUCCUGGGCUUAUUUUGUUUAGUAGGUCUAGAAGGUCUUUGAAGGUCUGUUUAAAGAAUAAAUUAAAUUACUUAGUGAUGUAAGGUGCAUAUAUUUGAUAGAGCAGGAAAUUGAAUGAAAUUGUAUCUUAGAAUGAAAGGCCAACCAGCAAACAAAUCAAUUUUAAUCUUUCCAUGAUUAUCAUGAAUUCAAAU
rnacentral:misc_RNA from 1 species